rnacentral:rRNA from 1 species
AAGUCGAACGGUAACAUUUCUAGCUUGCUAGAAGAUGACGAGUGGCGGACGGGUGAGUAAUGCUUGGGAACUUGCCUUUGCGAGGGGGAUAACAGUUGGAAACGACUGCUAAUACCGCAUAAUGUCUUCGGACCAAACGGGGCUUCGGCUCCGGCGCAAAGAGAGGCCCAAGUGAGAUUAGCUAGUUGGUAAGGUAACGGCUUACCAAGGCGACGAUCUCUAGCUGUUCUGAGAGGAAGAUCAGCCACACUGGGACUGAGACACGGCCCAGACUCCUACGGGAGGCAGCAGUGGGGAAUAUUGCACAAUGGGGGAAACCCUGAUGCAGCCAUGCCGCGUGUGUGAAGAAGGCCUUCGGGUUGUAAAGCACUUUCAGUUGUGAGGAAAAGCUAGUAGUUAAUACCUGCUAACCGUGACGUUAACAACAGAAGAAGCACCGGCUAACUCCGUGCCAGCAGCCGCGGUAAUACGGAGGGUGCGAGCGUUAAUCGGAAUUACUGGGCGUAAAGCGCACGCAGGCGGUUUGUUAAGCUAGAUGUGAAAGCCCCGGGCUCAACCUGGGAUGGUCAUUUAGAACUGGCAGACUAGAGUCUUGGAGAGGGGAGUGGAAUUCCAGGUGUAGCGGUGAAAUGCGUAGAUAUCUGGAGGAACAUCAGUGGCGAAGGCGACUCUCUGGCCAAAGACUGACGCUCAUGUGCGAAAGUGUGGGUAGCGAACAGGAUUAGAUACCCUGGUAGUCCACACCGUAAACGCUGUCUACUAGCUGUUUGUGGCUUUAAGCCGUGAGUAGCGAAGCUAACGCGCUAAGUAGACCGCCUGGGGAGUACGGCCGCAAGGUUAAAACUCAAAUGAAUUGACGGGGGCCCGCACAAGCGGUGGAGCAUGUGUUUACUCGAUGCAACGCGAAGAACCUUACCUACACUUGACAUGCAGAGACUUUCCAGAGAUGGAUUGUGCCUUCGGGAACUCUGACACAGGUGCUGCAUGCUGUCGUCAGCUCGUGUCGUGAGAUGUUGGGUAGUCCCGCACGAGCGCAACCCUUGUCCUUAGUUGCCAGCAUUCAGGUUGGGCACUCUAAGA